rnacentral:rRNA from 1 species
CAGCAGCCGCGGGAAUACGAAGGGGGCUAGCGUUGUUCGGAAUUACUGGGCGUAAAGGGCGCGUAGGCGGCCAUUCAAGUUAGAUGUGAAAGCCCUGGGCUCAACCUAGGAAUUGCAUUUGAUACUGUUUGGCUUGAGUUCGGGAGAGGUGAGUGGAAUUCCCAGUGUAGAGGUGAAAUUCGUAGAUAUUGGGAAGAACACCAGUGGCGAAGGCGGCCCACUGGACCGACACUGACGCUGAGGCGCGAAAGCGUGGGGAGCAAACAGGAUUAGAUACCCCAGUAGUCCCUGUCUCUUAUAC